ACGUCCAUAUUACGUUGAAACACCAGUUCCUGUACUAUCACCGAAUUUAAGCAACGUAUAGCCUGUUUAGUACUUAGAUGGGUGACCGCUUGGGAAUG